CCUAGGGAGGCAGCAGUGGGGAAUAUUGCACAAUGGGGGAAACCCUGAUGCAGCGACGCCGCGUGAGUGAAGAAGUAUUUCGGUACGUAAAGCUCUAUCAGCAGGGAAGAUAAUGACGGUACCUGACUCAGAAGCCACGGCUAACUACGUGCAAGCAGCCGCGGUAAUACGGAGGGGGCAAGCGUUAUCCGGAUUUACUGGGUGAAAGGGGAGCGUAGACGGCAGCGAAAGUCUGAAGUGAAAUCCCAUGGCUUAACCAUGGAACUGCUUUGGAAACUGUGCAGCUGGAGUGCAGGAGAGGUAAGCGGAAUUCCUGGGGGAGCGGUGAAAUGCGUAGAUAUUAGGAGGAACACCAGUGGCGAAGGCGGCUUACUGGACUGUAACUGACGUUGAGGCUCGAAAGCGUGGGGAGCAAACAGGAUUAGAUACCCUGUAGUC
rnacentral:rRNA from 1 species